rnacentral:rRNA from 1 species
AUAAUUACUGCUCAGUAACACGUAGUCAACCUGCCCUAGAGACAUGAAUAACCCCGGGAAACUGGGAUUAAUACAUGAUAGAUCAUCUCAUCUGGAAGGAGAGAUGGUUUAAAGGGGUGCGCGAGCUUCUUUUGUGCAUCCGCUCUAGGAUGGGACUGCGGCCGAUCAGGCUGUUGGUGGGGUAAUGGCCCACCAAACCUGUAACCGGUACGGGCCUUGAGAGAGGGGGCCCGGAGAUGGACACUGAGAGAAGGGUCCAGGUCCUACGGGGCGCAGCAGGCGCGAAACCUUCGCAAUGCGCGAAAGCGUGACGAGGUUAAUCCGAGUGGUUCCCGCUGAGGGAAUCUUUUGUGGCUCUAAAAUGGCCAGUGAAUAAGGGGAGGGCAAGUCUGGUGUCAGCCGCCGCGGUAAUACCAGCUCCUCGAGUGGUCGGGGCGAUUAUUGGGCCUAAAGCAUCCGUAGCCUGUUCUGUAGGUCUUCUGUUAAAUCCAACGGCUUAACCGUUGGCCUGCAGAAGAUACCGCAGGACUAGGAGGCGGGAGAGGUGGACGGUACUCCACGUGUAGGGGUAAAAUCCUUUGAUCCGUGGAAGACCACCAGUGGCGAAGGCGGUCCACCAGAACGCGCUCGACGGUGAGGGAUGAAAGCUGGGGGAGCGAACCGGAUUAGAUACCCGGGUAGUCCCAGCCGUAAACGAUGCGAGCUAGAUGAUCCAAUCCCAAAUCGCGAUUGGAGUGUCGCAGGGAACCCGUUAAGCUCGCCGCCUGGGGAGUACGGUCCCCC